rnacentral:lncRNA from 1 species
CGAGAUUCAUAGUUGUGCAUUGGUGGCUGAACUCUAGGAGAAGAGUUGGAGAGGGACUCGGCCACCAUGGUGGCAAAACCAAAGGUUGAUCUGAACGAAUCUUCCAAUUCCCUCAAGACUACACUAGAAGCCAUGGGGUCAUGGGAUGAAAAACUGUGCCAAGUCACCAAGAAGGCCAACGAGGCGAAGAAUGAGGCGACUGCAUGGAAGGUCAAGACUUAGAUAGGAAAGGCCGCCCUUGCCAAACAAGAAGGCGAAGCCGCAAAGAGGGAGAAGACAUUAUCCACGGAGUUGGAGAAUUUUCGAUCCUUUAUCUUGCCCAUAAGUAAGAAUUGUUUCUACCAGGGCCUCCGUCAGGAGGACUUUUUUCAUGGAGUUCCUCUGGAAGAUGACUGCUACGACAUGAAUAAGGAUAUCGUGGACGAAAAUUUGUUUUCGGUCAGCGAAGAUGAGGAGGAUGAUGCGAAGAACGCAGAAGGCCAAGGAGAUAACCUCGGUGCCGCACGGAUGGAAGUCGAACCCUCCGUAAAGAAGGUUAUUCAACCUUUGUAACUGAUACACUCAAAAUGUUCAUAGUAUCUUGGUCCCGGGAUGUGGGCACUGAAGAAUUUUAAUUUCUGCAUAUUUACCUUAUGUUUGAACACUUUAUAUUUGUAAUAGUUGCCUUUGCCGAUAACAUAUUUAACUCCGAUGACA